rnacentral:rRNA from 1 species
UAGGGAAUCUUCCACAAUGGGCGAAAGCCUGAUGGAGCAACACCGCGUGAGUGAAGAAGGGUUUCGGCUCGUAAAGCUACUGUUGUUAAAGAAGAACACGUAUGAGAGUAACUGUUCAUACGUUGACGGUAUUUAACCAGAAAGUCACGGCUAACUACGUGCCAG